AGGAUGAGCAAUGGAAGUAGU
rnacentral:miRNA from 1 species